CCUACGGGAGGCAGCAGUAGGGAAUCUUCCGCAAUGGACGAAAGUCUGACGGAGCAACGCCGCGUGAACGAUGAAGGCCUUCGGGUCGUAAAGUUCUGUUGUUAGGGAAGAACAAGUGCUAGUUAAAUAAGCUGGCACCUUGACGGUACCUAACCAGAAAGCCACGGCUAACUACGUGCCAGCAGCCGCGGUAAUACGUAGGUGGCAAGCGUUGUCCGGAAUUAUUGGGCGUAAAGCGCGCGCAGGCGGUUUCUUAAGUCUGAUGUGAAAGCCCCCGGCUCAACCGGGGAGGGUCAUUGGAAACUGGGAAACUUGAGUGCAGAAGAGGAAAGUGGAAUUCCAAGUGUAGCGGUGAAAUGCGUAGAGAUUUGGAGGAACACCAGUGGCGAAGGCGACUUUCUGGUCUGUAACUGACGCUGAGGCGCGAAAGCGUGGGGAGCAAACAGGAUUAGAUACCCUGGUAGUCCACGCUGUAAACGAUGAGUGCUAAGUGUUAGAGGGUUUCCGCCUUUAGUGCUGAAGUUACGCAUUAAGCNCUCGCGNGGAGUACGUCGCGAGAGNGAACUAAUAGUAGUUAGAGNGUUGAGAGNGCGACGGCGACGACGAGGGAGGAGG
rnacentral:rRNA from 1 species